CAUCUGGUGACUGAAUUUUAAGUGUAAGCCUUUUAAGCCUAUUAUAGUAAUAUUACUUCAGAUGA
rnacentral:tRNA from 1 species